CUGAGGGAUCUGGCUGUGACACCUGUUAACUCAUUGACUGCCAAAGUUGACAGAUCUAGCUGGCCAGGUGGGUGUUCCCUUCCUACCCCAGCACUGUUUUCAUCCCUCUCAAGGCUCCAUGCUUCAAAGACAACUACUUUCCCCAAUGAAGGAAGACCACUGGCCAAGGGUAGCUUGCUCACAUGCUAGAACCUUCAAACAAGUUUGCAAGGUGUGACUGAGGAUGUCCAGGGCCUGGUCCUAUCUGUCACUCAGCAUAGCCUUGAAUGGAUGGAGACCCUGCCAUGCU
rnacentral:snRNA from 1 species